UACGUAGGGGGCUAGCGUUGUCCGGAAUCAUUGGGCGUAAAGCGCGCGUAGGCGGCCCGGUAAGUCCGCUGUGAAAGUCAAAGGCUCAACCUUUGAAUGUCAGCGGAUACUGCCGGGCUAGAGUCCGGAAGAGGCGAGUGGAACUCCUGGUGUAGCGGUGGAAUGCGCAGAUAUCAGGAGGAACACCAAUGGCGAAGGCAGCUCGCUGGGACGGUACUGACGCUAAGGCGCGAAAGCGUGGGGAGCAAACAGG
rnacentral:rRNA from 1 species